GUAAUUUUUUUCUGAAAUCUUUAAGUUUUUAAUUCAAUUAUCCUCGCUCUAUUUUUAGGGGGAGGGAAGCAGAAGACUGAAUAAUGGCAGCUUCAACAGCCCCUGGAAAUGAGAAGCACGUUGAAGUCUGCCUCACAGGAGGAGGACCAGUCUCCAGGCCUGUAGUCAGUGUCAACCUACUACUGGAAUCCUGAUACCCAGAUCAAUACUGAAUGCUUUUCUGGAGAAUGGUCUUUACCCAGGCGGAGAACAUUGUUCUCAACACAGAGGUAUUUUCCUCAAAACUACUAUGUUGCAAAACAAGAUCGGAAACUAGCUGACCACAAGAAGAGAAAGAAAGAAAUGGAG